rnacentral:rRNA from 1 species
GUAGGUGGCAAGCGUUGUCCGGAAUUAUUGGGCGUAAAGCGCGCGCAGGCGGUCCUUUACGUCUGAUGUGAAAGCCCACGGGCUCAACCGUGGAGGGUCAUUGGAAACUGGGGGACUUGAGUACAGAAGAGGAAAGCGGAAUUCCAAGUGUAGCGGUGAAAUGCGUAGAGAUUUGGAGGAACACCAGUGGCGAAGGCGGCUUUCUGGUCUGUAACUGACGCUGAGGCGCGAAAGCGUGGGGAGCAAACAGGAUUAGAUACCCUGGUAGUCCACGCCGUAAACGAUGAGUGCUAAGUGUUAGGGGGUUUCCGCCCCUUAGUGCUGCAGCUAACGCAUUAAGCACUCCGCCUGGGGAGUACGGCCGCAAAGGCUGA